GUUUCCAUAGUGUAGUGGUUAUCACGUUCGCCUCACACGCGAAAGGUCCCCAGUUUCCCCAGGUCCCCGGAACUGGGUGGAAACA